rnacentral:rRNA from 1 species
ACGCUGGCGGCGUGCCUAAUACAUGCAAGUCGAGCGGACCGACGGGAGCUUGCUCCCUUAGGUCAGCGGCGGACGGGUGAGUAACACGUGGGUAACCUGCCUGUAAGACUGGGAUAACUCCGGGAAACCGGGGCUAAUACCGGAUGCUUGAUUGAACCGCAUGGUUCAAUYAUAAAAGGUGGCUUUYAGCUACCACUURCAGAUGGACCCGCGGCGCAUUAGCUAGUUGGUGAGGUAACGGCUCACCAAGGCGACGAUGCGUAGCCGACCUGAGAGGGUGAUCGGCCACACUGGGACUGAGACACGGCCCAGACUCCUACGGGAGGCAGCAGUAGGGAAUCUUCCGCAAUGGACGAAAGUCUGACGGAGCAACGCCGCGUGAGUGAUGAAGGUUUUCGGAUCGUAAAACUCUGUUGUUAGGGAAGAACAAGUACCGUUCGAAUAGGGCGGYACC